UCUCCAGGGCUUUAUAAGGCAGGGACCAAGGAGCUUGCGAACAGGAGAGAGGAAAGGUUACUUGCUGACAAGUUUAGCAAGAGUUUUCAGGAUAAUAUCUGCUUGCAAUGGAGCUAAACUUUAUCACUGCUUGUUUUUGGGAGACUCCAGAAAAAUUUGGGAGCGAGAACAGCAGGGAGCCUGCUGUGUACUCUCCCAGCUCCGCUAGCUGCCAGCUGACACAAAUCUGAAGGCAAAAAUGGACAGGGGAAGACAGGUUCAAGGAGCAAAUGUAAUCCACCCACUUGGAGAGGGAGCACAUAACCAAACAGAGGAAUACACUAUUAGAGGACAUGCAAGCAGAGCAUCAGGAAAGGGGAGUAUUCAGGGAACUGAAAGAGAAGCACCAGGAGACUGUCUUGUCAUUCUUGAUGUCUGUGGUGGACCACAUGGCAGUCUAGAUAUGUACCUGGACAGACUCCCCCAAUCUUUCACAAACCAGCUUUCCCUCCUCACCCAGUUCUGUAGCCUUCUCCCCCAGGGAUCCUAAGACAUGGGAGGGACUUGAGGACAGUCUCACACUCAACCUCCAGGGCAUCAUGAAGCAAAAGCCUGUGUCAUCCUUGUAUUUCUGAUCCCCCUUCCGCUUUGGUUCCCACUGUGGACUCAUUUUUUGUCCCUGCUGUCUCCCUAAAUAAAAACAUAUGA